UACGGAGGGAGCUAGCGUUGUUCGGAAUUACUGGGCGUAAAGCGCACGUAGGCGGCUCUGUAAGUUAGAGGUGAAAGCCCGGGGCUCAACUCCGGAAUUGCCUUUAAGACUGCAUCGCUUGAAUCCAGGAGAGGUGAGUGGAAUUCCGAGUGUAGAGGUGAAAUUCGUAGAUAUUCGCAAGAACACCAGUGGCGAAGGCGGCUCACUGGCCCGGUACUGACGCUGAGGUGCGAAAGCGUGGGGAGCAAACAGG
rnacentral:rRNA from 1 species